AAUUUAAGAGAUAAAAAUCAGCUUAUCUGAAAUAAAAUAAAUUUAGGUUCGUUUGUUUGCCAUGAAAUCAUUCUCCGGAAAAGCUUUUCAGCUUUUUCCAGUGUUUGUUUGGCUGAAAAGAAUUUCCUAACCUAAAAUGAAUUACCAAACACGGGAAAUGAGGCCUUUAAUUUGGAAAAAUGUCUUACCAUUUUUAUUUCGGUAAGACAUUUUCGUGAAAAGAAGCGAAGAACUCUCAACACCUAAUCUCCCUUCCCCUUCCCCCAUCCUUGACACCUCGAUCUUCUGCUUGCCGUCAACCAACAAUGAUUCUCAACAUCAGACGCCAGCGCUCAUCUUUGAUUUUCCUCAUCUUCGCCUUUCGUUGUCAAAAUGGUUACUCCACCACCAGUCGGCAUAUAUACUUGGAGUCACCCUCCCCAUCUGCAUCCAUCUUUUCCAUUACACUGAAAAUUGAACCCUAGAAUUUUGAUUUGAAUCGCUCCGAGACAGCCAAGGGGCAGAUUGAUGGUCUUGAGCUUAUAGCCUUUGAGAAUUUUACAUCCCGUGCUGUGAUGGAGGCAGUCGGGUCAUGCGUCACAAACAAGUAUUCUGAAGGACUACUUGGUGCUAUGGUGGCAAUGAGUACAUUGAUGAACUUGAAAUACUUUUCCAAAAGAGGGCUUUGGCAGCAUUUCAUUUGGAUGAAAAGAAGUAGGGCAUUAAUGUUCAAUCGUUGCCUGGUUCUCCGGCAAACUUUGAGGUUUAUAUAGCUAUUCUUAAUCCACAUGAUCGAAUAAUGGGUCUGGACUUACCUCAUGGGGGAAAUUUGUCACAUGGAUUUAUGACUCCUAAAAGACGAGUAUCUGGCACAUCAAUCUAUUUCAGGUCAAUGCCUUAUCGACUUGAUGAAUCCACAGAUUGCAUAUUACACUGCUGAGGUUGACAUAGUAAAAAUUUUCAGUGAAGAAUUAUUGGAUUUGAUGAAACCUUGGUUAGUAUGUCUGGAUUAAUUGAAGGUCUUCUAGAUUCUGUUGCCCUUAGAUGCCUAGCACGAGCUCCCUUCUACCUAUAUCCUAAGGUGGAGCUUGUUUCCCGUUCAUGGAGAGCUGCCAUUCGUGGCUCUGAGCUGUUCAAAGCUUGGCAGGAGGUUGGCUCAGCAAAGGAACUUCUUUGAGUGUGUGCAUACGAUCCUUGUUUCUAGUAAAAUUUGGAUAAUAUUAUUAAUUUCUAGUAUUAAUUGUGGUUUGAAGCUAAUUUAUAAUUAUUCAAUCCUUGUUUUUUUUUAUAACACAAUUAGAAAUAAUUUAAUUGACUUUGAUUAUUUUCAAUUUAUGACGGUUAAUAUUCUAGCUUAAUAA